rnacentral:tRNA from 1 species
GCCGGCGUGGCGAAAUUGGUAUACGCAAGGGACUUAAAAUCCCUCUUCUUUGCGGAAAUGCGGGUUCAAGUCCCGCCGCCGGCA